CUAUUUCUAAAAUGUCUGCGCCCAUAAGGCAUGCAUGACGCUUUGUUUGGAAAUUAUUUGCUUAUAAUAUAUAAUUAAUUUCGUAUUUUGUUAAACAUUUAUGUGAACAAAUACAGUAAAUAUUCACUUACUUUUCAAUGAGAAAUGGCUGCAAAGAAAUCCCAGAAAGCACUUCUUCAGAAGUUGGAAGAAUAUGGAGACAGUAUACUUGAUGAAGACAACCAGUCCGAAAAAUCAAAGAAAAUCAAGAAAAAGCAAAAGCAAACUGAUGUCUCUCGGAUUGAUGCACAGUCAAACCAAACUCCCAUAAAAAAGAAAAAAUUGAACAAAAACAAAGAAAACUCUUAAAAAGGCAACACAAUGCAGAUCAGGGAAAACAAAAGACGAAGCCGAUGAGCAAGAAGAUGAAGUGGCUGAAGGAGGCUCUGGGCAGUGAAGGUCUGAUGGACGUGGAGAACACUGGCAGAGGAAGGGGUGAUGAGGAAGUGAAAGUGGAGAAGAAGAGGAAGUAUGAACCGGAAGUCAUUGUGUUUGAAGAUCCAGCCAAGAAACGGAAAAAGGUGAGGAAGGAGGAGGACACUGAGUCCGACACUGUCAACCACUUUAACAUGAACACUGCCAGGUUUGAAGUGAGGAAGCUUCGGGAUCAGUGGAUUCGGUGGCGAGAAGAAGUCUGAAGCCAGAGUGUCACUGCUCAUCAGUCUGGGUGCCAAGCCUCCCAGGAACAAGAGUUACACAAACUACAAGGAGUUCCAGCAGAAGAGGAAGGCAGACAUGGAUGCUGAGAAACAGAGGAGGCUUGAGGAGCAGGUGCCUGGAGAGAAACUGCCCAAACGGAAGUCACAGAAACGACCUCGAGAGAAAGGUGACACUAUUGACGGACAGAUUGGAUAUUUCAAAAAUGGUGUUCAGUUUAUCAACAAGGAAUCACUCCAGAAACUGAAAUCCUCGUGACUGUUCCCCAGUUUCAUCAUCCGUAAUACACCUGUACAUAUCUCACUGUGGGUACACAGAAUCAAAGGGUUUCUGUGUUGAAGAAGUGUCAUGGUGGAUCUGCUUUCCUUCAUCAGUUCCAGUGCUUCCUACACUGAAUGAUGUGAUUAAGAGUUCAACAUAGUUCAGCUUUGAUAGAGGAUAAAGCAUCAAGGCUCUGCUUUGUACAGUAAUUCGUAUGUAAUGAGGUUUUAAAAUCCCAUACAUUGACUAUCGUAGAUCAAAGAUCGCUUUUUGAAAUGGGUUCAGUGCUAAUAGCUGUUUAAGAUACCACCAUUUUGAACAUGGAAUAUGUUAAAGGCUCAGGGUAUGUGUAUGGAAGUUAGUUUAAUUGGCUUUCCAGAAAGAAUGAAAGAUAAAAAGAUGUGUGAAUAUUUGUAAAUAAUUGUCAUCAUUUUCAAUCAUCAGUAUAUAUAUUUCAGAAUUGUAAGGGUGUACUUUGAAACCUGCCAACACCAGCACCUGUCUAAUCCGGCACACUGUCACAACCAGCAUAAAAAUUUGGUCUUGCCAUUUUACAUCGAUAUUAUGAUCAUUAAAAGAGACUGACAAGUGUAAAUGGCAGCCAUGUUGGAAAAUGAUCGUCACAGUCAAAUCCGGUACCUUUUCUAAACCGGCAUUUUAUUUCGGUCCGUGGGGUGCUGGUUUAGACAGGUUUCACUGUAUUUUGUCAUUUAAUCAAUUACUCAAGUGGUUCAGAACUGCUUUCAAUCAACAAUGUCAUUCUAUUCUUCCAUUCAUAUUAUGAAAACAGUUUCAUUGACAAUGUCAUUUGAAUGCUCAUUAAUUUAUUCAUUAAAAAACUCAUAAUAAAUUGUAAAUAGGUACAGAA